rnacentral:rRNA from 1 species
AUUGAACGCUGGCGGCAUGCCUUACACAUGCAAGUCGAACGGUAACGGGCCUUCGGGUGCCGACGAGUGGCGAACGGGUGAGUAAUGUAUCGGAACGUACCUUUCAGUGGGGGAUAACGGAGCGAAAGUUACGCUAAUACCGCAUAUUCUGUGUGCAGGAAAGCAGGUGAUCGGAAGACCUUGCGCUGAUUGAUCGGCCGAUAGCAGAUUAGCUAGUUGGUGAGGUAAAGGCCCACCAAGGCGACGAUCUGUAGAGGGUCUGAGAGGAUGAUCCGCCACACUGGAACUGAGACACGGUCCAGACUCCUACGGGAGGCAGCAGUGGGGAAUUUUGGACAAUGGGGGCAACCCUGAUCCAGCCAUGCCGCGUGAGUGAAGAAGGCCUUCGGGUUGUAAAGCUCUUUCGGCCGGGAAGAAAUCGUAUCAGCUAAUACCUGGUGCGGAUGACGGUACCGGCAUAAGAAGCACCGGCUAACUACGUGCCAGCCGCCGCCGUAAGAC